rnacentral:rRNA from 1 species
GAUGAACGCUGGCGGCGUGCCUAACACAUGCAAGUCGAGCGAUUCUCUUCGGAGAAGAGCGGCGGACGGGUGAGUAACGCGUGGGUAACCUGCCCUGUACACACGGAUAACAUACCGAAAGGUAUGCUAAUACGAGAUAAUAUGCUUUUAUCGCAUGGUAGAAGUAUCAAAGCUUUUGCGGUACAGGAUGGACCCGCGUCUGAUUAGCUAGUUGGUAAGGUAACGGCUUACCAAGGCGACGAUCAGUAGCCGACCUGAGAGGGUCGAUCGGCCACAUUGGAACUGAGACACGGUCCAAACUCCUACGGGAGGCAGCAGUGGGGAAUAUUGCACAAUGGGCGAAAGCCUGAUGCAGCAACGCCGCGUGAGCGAUGAAGGCCUUCGGUCGUAAGCUCUGUCUCAAGGAAGAUAAUAGACGGUACUUGAGGAGGAAGGCCCCGGCGUAACUACGUGCCAGCAGCCGCGGUAAAAGUACACGUCG